rnacentral:rRNA from 1 species
CACGUAGGGCGCAAGCGUUGUCCGGAAUUACUGGGCGUAAAGGGUGCGUAGGCGGUUCGUUAAGUCUGUUGUGAAAUCCCCGGGCUCAACCUGGGAAUGGCAAUGGAUACUGGCGGGCUAGAGUGUGUCAGAGGAUGGUGGAAUUCCCGGUGUAGCGGUGAAAUGCGUAGAGAUCGGGAGGAACAUCAGUGGCGAAGGCGGCCAUCUGGGACAACACUGACGCUGAAGCACGAAAGCGUGGGGAGCAAACAGG